GGCUCCAGACAGCCCCGCUGGUUCAGGUCACCAAGGUGGACUGAGAAACAGGGAUCUUGAGCAGGCCCUUUGACCGACACGUCGGUGUGGCAAGGCUGGAAGGUCUUCCUGCCUCCAGUUGCACAAAGGAAUGGGUUACAGUGGAGAUGGAGAGUUCUGGAGAUUCACACUGAGAUACGGAAAGGACCUUAAGGAGGGCCCGGGAACACGAGGACAAACUUCUAAAGCAGCCUAUAGUGAAGAAUUGCAGAGCAGUGCCGUCAAAUGAAGGACUCAGCCCCAGUGUAGGAUAAUAUUGGGACACAGAAAAUUGCAGCAGAUUGCCUAAGGCAAACCGCAACCAGCCAGCAGCCGGAUGGAGCAGAGAAGAUGCCCGUUAUGUGGGGAAUGUGAGAAGGAUGUUUUCGGGUCUGUGCGCAGCUGUGACAAGCCAGGUAGAAACGGAGUUGGCCCCCUUUCCUGUGUGGGGACUGGAUGUCCCCAAAUUAUCUACAAGAUUUCGACUUGCCAUUGCCCGCUUAGGGAAAUCAUCCAGAGAGAAUUUGU